GUUUAAGUCUGAUUGCCUGACCUCUCAAUCCUUCAGUGCAACAGCUUCAGACAGUUCAUGGAAAAGUGUUCUCUUCUAUCUGUCCAAAGGAGAGAUCGAUGGGUUUUCAAUAAUCCGGAAGAUAUGAAAUAAUAUUGAUGUAAACAUCAUAGACAUGUUGAGAACUCUCAAUCUCAGAAUUCUGACAUCUCUUUCCCAACCUCCCCUGCCUGAUACUCCUCCACUCAACUAUGAGCAAAUAGCAGUUGGCUACUCCCCUUCAAUAUGUUCAAUCUUCUAUACAAAGGUUUCUUUA